rnacentral:rRNA from 1 species
CACGUAGGGUGCGAGCGUUGUCCGGAAUUAUUGGGCGUAAAGAGCUUGUAGGCGGUUUGUCGCGUCUGCUGUGAAAACUCGGGGCUUAACUCCGGGCCUGCAGUGGGUACGGGCAGACUAGAGUGCGGUAGGGGAGACUGGAAUUCCCGGUGUAGCGGUGAAAUGCGCAGAUAUCGGGAGGAACACCUAUGGCGAAGGCAGCUCGCUGGGACGUUACUGACGCUGAGACGCGAAAGCGUGGGGAGCAAACAGG